GAACAACAAAGCAUCUUUUGGAACUGAAUGCUCAAGUUUUUGAUCGAAUCAUAACUAAUAUUUCUGUAUAUAAGACAUGGCACCAGGAGGUCAUCGUCGCUUACUUCAGUCUUGGCUAUCGAUGACAUCAUCCCGCGAGGAUGAUGGGUCAUCCACGAGAGCGACUGAGCGCGUUAGGGCUGAUGUGGCACCAUCUGGUGCCCUCGGGGCCCCAGACCGACAUGGUUCCAUCAGUUAGGUAUCAAGCCCAAGCAUUGACCUCUAUGGCGUAGAUGAGUUCAGGCUGUAGUGCAGCGAGGAACGUUGCGCUAAAGAAGCACUUGGAGAGGACUAGGCGGCAGAUCCAUAUUGACAUUCCUCCAGGCUUUACAGCCCUGCUUGCCGAUUGGUGCACAACUUGGUCACGGGAGCUUGGCAUUAUAUGUCGCCAAUAUGCUCCAGUCACUUGCUUCACCUGGUCAAAGGUGACGGAGGCUCAGCGCUUGGUUCUAUAUGAGCGCAUCUUGGAAGAGUUUGAUAUGGACAUUUUCACCGCAGACCAUGUCAAAAGGGCGGUGAACACGCAGUUGUGCUCUCGGUUUAAGACCUAUU